rnacentral:rRNA from 1 species
GCAGGCUGCAACCCGCCUGCGUGAAGUCGGAAUCGCUAGUAAUCGCGGAUCAGCAUGCCGCGGUGAAUACGUUCCCGGGCCUUGUACACACCGCCCGUCACACCAUGAGAGUCGGGAACACCCGAAGUCCGUAGCCUAACCGAAAGGAGGGCGCGGCCGAAGGUGGGUUCGAUAAUUGGGGUGAAGUCGUAACAAGGUAAC